UUACCGAUCUGCGACGCUAUUGCUUUGGGUACUUUCAGGACCCGUCUUGAAACAUGGACCAAGGAGUCUAACAUGUGCGCGAGUCAUUGGGUUGACUAAGUAGCAAGCCCAAAGGCGUAAUGAAAGUGAAGAUCGACGUUUAGCCGAUCGAGGGAGGAUGGCUCGGGUUCGCUCGGGCCCGCACUCCCGGGGCGUCUCACGGUCCUUUGGACCAGAGGCGCACCCAGAGCGUACACGUUGGGACCCGAAAGAUGGUGAACUAUGCCUGGUCAGGACGAAGUCAGGGGAAACCCUGAUGGAGGUCCGUAGCGAUUCUGACGUGCAAAUCGAUCGUCGGAACUGGGUAUAGGGGCGAAAGACUAAUCGAACCAUCUAGUAGCUGGUUCCCUCCGAAGUUUCCCUCAGGAUAGCUGGCACUCGUCUAAACGAGUCUCAUCUGGUAAAGCGAAUGAUUAGAGGCCUUGGGGCCGAAACGACCUCAACCUAUUCUCAAACUUUAAAUGGGUGAGAUCUCUGGCUUGCUUGAACGAUGAAGCCAUGAGAUAUUUACGAGGAUCAGAGUGCCAAGUGGGCCAAUUUUGGUAAGCAGAACUGGCGCUGUGGGA
rnacentral:rRNA from 1 species